UCGAGUCGGUUUCCGUCUUAGUGUCUUGUUAUUCGAGUCUAAAUAGUAAACAAAGCAAAUGGCGUCAAACGGAUGAAGCUCUCUCUCGUUAGAAAUUAAAAGGUCGGUAAAAUAAAAAGUUAUUGAUCAAUUCGGCUGAAAUUUGGUGUGUGGUCAUUGCUAGUCCCCCUGAACAUCCUCUGAAAAUUUCAAGUUCCUACGACCACGGGAACUGGUAGAGGUACGAAAGUGCAAUAGCGCCGAUAAAAUAAUAUUCUUGUGUACUAUAUAUAGAGGAUAUUUGUCGUUUUAGAGUGAAUAACAUAUUUUAUUUCAUCGAGAAGCAAGAAAACUUAUAUUUUCACGAAUGCGUAGCAUGAGUGAAAACAUAAACGUUUUCUUGCUUAGAGAUGAAAUAAAAUAUGUUAUUCACGACAAAACGACAAAUGUUCUAUUUAUUUUAUGAUUUUACAAUCAUUUUAGGUAAAAACAACUAGCCAGUGGAAUAACACUUUUAUUUCACUGAUAAAACGCGAUAUUCCACUACUGAUCAUAAAAUAAAAGUACAUAUUAAACAUUUAUUUUGUCCGCGAUAUCACCUCGGUGGAAGCGGACGUAAAAUACAACAAACACACACACACAUUUAUUUUCAUUUUUAAUUAACAAACAUAUGAAUAAAAAUGAUAUAAAAUAUUUGGCUAAAACUUUCUGAAUUGGCUAAUAAAAUUUUGAAUUGGCUAAAAAUUUGGCUAAAGGUUUUAAGAGUCUAGGGCGGUCACUGGUGUAUUAUAUGUAAAAAACGUGACAGAUUUGUCACUGUUGGAGAAAAUAGGAAGAAGGAUGUAUUAACACAGACUCAGACCCAAACAGGCUCAGGCCAACUGUUGAAAGCUGCUGAAUUGAAAGAGGAUGAAGAUAUUUUAAGGCAUAUCAGAGGGCAAGAUUGUGUGGCCAUUGAGGUCAGAUAUCACCAAAAAUGUUAUAGGCAAUAUACAUGUACUGAAUUUCUUAGACAGUUAUCAGAAAGCAAAGAUGACUAGCCCUCCGUCGAAUAUUAAACCACAUACAAUAUAUUCUGUGAAGAUGUCAUAAGAGAAAGAAUCAUAAAUGGCCAGCAAAGUUGUCUUGUACAGAGAGAGAGAAAUGGGGUUUAACGUCCACUCAACACAAACUAGGUCAUUUUGGGACUAACAUACGGUUUCAAUUUUAUUUCAAUAAUUCGCUUGCGCGUAUGGGUCUUUAGCAGUGAGAGGAAACCGGAGUGCCCGGAGGAAACCCACGAGGUUGAGAAGACGCCUCUAUCUCCAUGCCACAUACGCUCACACCUGGGAUCAAAGCCACAGCCACAAGCCAGAGGUGACCGACCAGCUAGAGGUCGAAGCGCGGCACUCUAGGCCAUCCCAACCCCCCUUUCUUGUACAGACCUGUGCAUGUGUAGUCAAUGUGAAAAUGAAAAAAAAACUGUUAAAGAGACCGAAUUUGAUGUUAAUACAUUUAGUGACAGUGAUGAUGAUAAUGAAGAUUAACUUUGAUGACAUUUGAUGUGCAGAGUAACUGUUUAAUUUUGAUU